rnacentral:rRNA from 1 species
GUAGGUGGCAAGCGUUGUCCGGAAUUAUUGGGCGUAAAGCGCGCGCAGGCGGUUCUUUAAGUCUGAUGUGAAAGCCCACGGCUCAACCGUGAAGGGUCAUUGGAAACUGGAGAACUUGAGUACAGAAGAGGAAAGCGGAAUUCCACGUGUAGCGGUGAAAUGCGUAGAGAUGUGGAGGAACACCAGUGGCGAAGGCGGCUUUCUGGUCUGUAACUGACGCUGAGGCGCGAAAGCGUGGGGAGCAAACAGGGAUUAGAUACCCUGGUAGUCCACGCCGUAAACGAUGAGUGCUAAGUGUUAGGGGGUUUCCGCCCCCUUAGUGCUGCAGCUAACGCAUUAAGCACUCCGCCUGGGGAUACGGCCGCAAGGCUG